CAGGAAUUGCGUCGUGCCACCAUACCCUGCAUUUUUAUGUAUAUCGUCCUCCUCCAAAUCUUUGUGCACUGUGUGACCCAUGUCGUCAUGUCGUUUCACACGUCAUGGUUGGUCAAAAUGCUGGAUGGAAAACAUUGGAAACGACGCGUUUAUCCUGGACCAAUGAUUCCCUGGACGAGGGCCGACCUCCCAAAGAAAUUUCCGAAUCCUGAAGUGAAAAUUGGUGAAUUGCGACUUUGGUGCGGUCGUCGACGCGCAGUAAUCUUCUAUUUUAUCACGUGUUUCUUCUGUUGUGUCGGACUUAUCGGGCUUCUCUGCCUGCCGGAAGUGUUGUGUCGACAAGCAUAUUAUCAAAAUGAGGA